GACCCGUGGCGUAGCGGUUAGCGCUGUCGUUUUGUAAACUCGCAUCCGGGGUUCAAUCCCCGAUGGGGUCA